GACGAACGCUGGCGGCAUGCCUAAUACAUGCAAGUCGAGCGAACAGAUGAAGUGCUUGCACUUCUGACGUUAGCGGCGAACGGGUGAGUAACACGUAAGGAAUCUACCUAUAAGCGGGGGAUAACAUUCGGAAACGGGUGCUAAUACCGCAUAAUAUCUUCUUCCGCAUGGAAGAAGAUUGACAGACGGCUCUGCUGUCACUUAUAUAUAACCUUGCGGUGCAUUAGUUAGUUGGUGGGGUAACGGUCUACCAAGACGAUGAUGCAUAGCCGACCUGGGAGGGUGAUCGGCCACAUUGGGACUGAGACACGGCCCAAACUCCUACGGGAGGCAGCAGUAGGGAAUCUUCCGCAAUGGGCGAAAGCCUGACGGAGCAAUGCCGCGUGAGUGAAGAAGGCCUUCGGGUCGUAAAACUCUGUUAUAAGAGAAGAACAAAUUGUAGAGUAACUGCUACAGUCUUGACGGUAUCUUAUCAGAAAGCCACGGCUAACUACGUGCCAGCAGCCGCAGUAA
rnacentral:rRNA from 1 species